GCGGGUGUGGUGUACGGUACACAGCUGUCUUUCAUUCGCGCAUCUCCAAUUCAAGCAGCAAACCCGGGUUCGACUCCCGGCGCGCGCA